rnacentral:tRNA from 2 species
GGCCCGUUGGUCAAGCGGUCUAAGACAUCGCCCUUUCACGGCGGUUACACGGGUUCGAAUCCCGUACGGGUCACCA